AAUGAACGCUGGCGGCAGGCCUAACACAUGCAAGUCGAACGAAGCCUUCGGGCUUAGUGGCGGACGGGUGAGUAACGCGUGGGAACAUACCCAAAGGUACGGAAUAGCCUCGGGAAACUGGGAGUAAUACCGUAUGUGCCCUUUAGUUGUAGUGACUAGGGGGGAAAGAUUUAUCGCCUUUGGAUUGGCCCGCGUUGGAUUAGGUAGUUGGUGGGGGUAAUGGCCUACCAAGCCGACGAUCCAUAGCUGGUUUGAGAGGAUGAUCAGCCACACUGGGACUGAGACACGGCCCAGACUCCUACGGGAGGCAGCAGUGGGGAAUCUUAGACAAUGGGCGCAAGCCUGAUCUAGCCAUGCCGCGUGAUCGAUGAAGGCCUUAGGGUUGUAAAGAUCUUUCAGAUGGGAAGAUAAUGACGGUACCAUCAGAAGAAGCCCCGGCUAACUCCGUG
rnacentral:rRNA from 1 species